rnacentral:lncRNA from 1 species
GCAGCAUGUCUGACACCCUGAUAUCCUUCAGCACAGAGCCUGCCAGUUCUGGCCAAGCAGACUCGGGAGUAGAUCUUCUCAGUCAGGAUCUGCUGACAGACAACAGUCCUCUGCCUCAGACAAACAAGGCACAUAAAACUCUGGACCUGCUCGCAGAUGAUCUUAUUCCCUUCAAUACUACUACCACCAGGUGAUUUUUUGUCCUCAUUUAUUCUUUAUUCAUAGAACUGUCAUUUCUUAGUUUUGAAGAA